UUGCUCAANAUUAGCCAUGCAUGUCUAAGUAUAACAUCUUUAUACUGUGAACUGCA
rnacentral:rRNA from 1 species